ACGUAACACACCAAAGCGAUUCUCAACAAGGAAACAAAGUAUACCAGUGGUUUUCCAAGCGGGCGGUGAGAGCGGCGGUGCACGCGCCGCUUGCAGAAACGUUUCGUAAAUUCGAGGAACGGCUGGAAAGAAGUGGCCGCGGCACAAAGCGUGCCGACACGACCGGGCCCGUUUGCCCCGCGGAGGCCCUUUUCUCCCCGAACAAAGUCGAAUAUACAGAAAACUGGCAAGAUCAGACCGUUCUCGACAUGCUUGCCGACUUUUUGGAAAAAGAAGGCGGAGGAAAGGUAACCGACACAGAGAAGCGGCUGAGCAGAG
rnacentral:misc_RNA from 1 species